rnacentral:rRNA from 1 species
UACGGAGGAUCCAAGCGUUAUUCGGAUUUAUUGGGUUUAAAGGGUGCGUAGGUGGCCUGUUAAGUCAGGGGUGAAAGACGGUAGCUCAACUAUCGCAGUGCCCUUGAUACUGAUGGGCUUGAAUAAACUAGAGGUAGGCGGAAUGUGACAAGUAGCGGUGAAAUGCAUAGAUAUGUCACAGAACACCAAUUGCGAAGGCAGCUUACUAUGGUUUUAUUGACACUGAGGCACGAAAGCGUGGGGAUCAAAUAGG